CAAGAGGAUCACCUGAGCCUUGUAUGCUGAGACUGCAGUGAGCCAAGAUCACUGCACUUCAGCCUUGGCGAUGGAAUGAGACCCUGUCUCAAAUAAGUAAAUAAAUUGACAUUAGCUGUUUGUUUAAUAGAAUUAUUAAUUUGGAACAACUUUCUAUGCUGUUUGGCAUCAUAUAAUAUAAAAUCUUUGUAAAAGAGUUAAAACAUUUUUAAAAUAAUUAUUUAAAUUAUUAAUGUGUUAUUUACACAUUUUUGGAAAAAAAUCCUAAAAGCUUGUGUGUGUGUGUUGUGUGUCUAUGUUGUGUAUAUGUGUAAAAUUUGUGCCUCAAGCUACAGAGCAUUACAUAAAGAAUGGCUGCCUUCUUUUUUUUAAACAACUGGUUGCAAGUUCUGUGGACUGGGCCCUUCGUGACCGGUGAGAAUUGGCAGUAGUUUGAGAUAGGUGGCGGUGGUAAAGUUGAUGAAAAGAAAUUCUGGAUGUAUUUUGAAGGUCAAGUCAGCAAAGAUUUGUUGUCGAUUGGAUGUGAAGUGUGAGAAAGAGUGAAGUUAGGAUGUCAUCAAGACUUUUGGCCUGAGCAACUGGAGGAUGGGUGGGAGGAGCAGGCAUUGGGGGAUAACGUCAGGAGCUCGAUCUGCCACUUGUGAGGCUGACACAUCUGUUUGAUAGUGAGAUGGAGAGCAGUAAGCAGUUAGAUAUAGAAGCUGAGAGUGAGGGGAGAAGUACAAGGUAAGAUUUAAAUUUGAGACUCAUUGGUAUAUGCACAGCAUUUAAAGCCAUGAGGCUAGAUUAACUCACCAAGGUAGUGAAGGCUGAAAGAAAGAAGAGGUCUGAGGAAGGAACUCUUGGUUACAGGUUGGGGAAUGAAGGGAAAGUACCCUUGAAAAGGGAAAUCUCCUUGGCCUGGUGACAUAGACACCAGAUAAAGAAAACAUUUCAAGAAGUGACUGUGCUGUAUGCUGAUAAUAAGUUCUGUAAGAGGAGAACUGAGAAUUCACUGGAUCUGGCAGUGUGACAGCCAUUGGUGAAAUGGUGGAGUAAAGCCUGAGAGAUUCAAAAGAGAAUAGAGGAGAAUCAGAGGCACUGUGUCUGUGUGAGUCUUGAGUUCUGCCACAGAGUGAAGGAAGGAAGUGGGGUCAUAGCUGGAAAAAAGAAAGGGAUCAAGAGAUAGUUUUUUACUUGUUUUAUUUUAAAUUGGGGGAAUUAGCAGCAUGUAUAUGCUGAUGGGAAUGAUUCAGCAGGGAGGAAAAAACGGGCAAGUUGGCGGGGUUGCAUGAACAACCUCAUAGGCAUUAUUGAGCUUUUCAUAUUUUGUUUAAUCGUAAACAAACAAACAUUACUGUGUUUGUCACUCAGAAUACACGGAUAGACAGAUGAAGGUGCUUUUCUCCUAGUCUAAGCUCUGUUUUUAAAAUUUAUUUUUUGGAAAUAGAGAACUUCCUCUGUUGCCCGGGAUGGAGUACAGUGGCACAGUCUCAGCUCACUGCAGCCUCCUGGGCUCAAGCCGCCCUCCCACUUCAGCCUCCCGAGUAGCUGGGACCACAGGUGCAUGCCACUAUGUCUGGCCAAUUUUUUAAAUUUUUUCCUGGACUCAAGCUAUCUUCUGCCUCAGCCUCCCAAAGUGCUACGAUUAAAGGUGUGCGCCACCGCACCUGGCCCUAACCUUUAUUUUUGAGUUAACUUUGCUGGCCAGUCAUUGGAAUGCUGAAUUAGAGAUUUCUUGAAAAGACAGAAAAUCUGUGACUGAAAAUUUUUUCAUGGUUUUUGCUGUUAACCUCAAUUUUGCUUUUGACCAAUAUAAAAUUUCUUCGUCCAUUUCAGUCAUUGUACAGACAUUUUAGACAUAGCAGAUUAUUUAAUCUUCGUAAUAACUAUAUAGCAGAUUUUAAUAUCCCCCAUUUUAUAAAUGAGGAAAGUGGGAAUCAAAGAAGUUAAAUCACUUGCCCAAGAUCACAUAGCUUGUGAUUGGCAGUGUCAAGAUGUAAACCCAGGUCUGAAUCUUCAGAUUAUUAAGUAGUACUUAGUAAUAAAGUUAUUGAGCUUCUACUUUCUAUAAAAAUGACAAUUUGCUAGCACUUUACAUGAACUGUGUGGAAUUCAUAAUAUUUUCAGUGCUUAGUAGUGUGGCUUAUAAACUUCGUAGUAAAAUUUUAAGGUAUUUGAAAAUACAAAUAGUCUGACUUAGAAGAGUCAAUCUCAGUUUUGAUAAACCAAUAAAAUUAGGUUAUCUAAAUUAUGCACUUGAUAAUUUGCUGUUUAUGGACUAGACUGUGCUAGAAUAAUCCAAUUGUUUAUUCAUAAUUAUUAUGGAAUUUCAUUUCACAUAGAACACAUAUGUUAAAUAUAAACAUACAUUUGCAUUUCAAAUGAUUGCCGGGUGGUAUAUCAUUUAAUCAGAUGUUCCAAAGAAGGAGAGGUAUUAGAAGCUAUCUUGUUAGCGAACAAAGCAGGGACAUUUGCCUAGCAUUGAAGAUGGUAGAAUGUGAACUUCUUUGUUUUAUGGCACUAAUACAAGGAUUGCAGCCUAAAUAAGAUAUUUUGGUGAGAAAAAAAUAUUUUCUGGUUUUUCACUACUGAAUAUAAGAAUAUGUGGAAUCCUUUUAUAUUGCAUGUUUAUGUCUAACUAAAAAGAGAGACUGCAUGUACACUGUCUCCCUACAUAUAGAUCAUUAGGCAUAUCAGUUUGAUCUCCAUGUCUGAGAAGGCUUACAGAAUAAUGAACCCACUGAUAACUUUUCAAGGACACAUCUUUUGAAGGCAGUAGUGUUUAUUAAUUUCCUGGUUUGUUCAUUCUAACAUCAUUUGUGGGCCGCCCCUGAGCCAUGCACUGUGGGAAGACAGGGCUACCCAGUAGAGUGGUAAAAGCCUUACCUGUUGACUUUCUAAGCAAAUUCUUAUGGAUAACCCUGUGCUGAGGCUUGCAGACCGCAAUGUGGUAUAUUUAAGUCUGCGUUUAGAGAGUAUUGAUGACAAUUAUGAGGUUACCCUGAGUCCAGUAAGAACUUCUGUCACUGUGUACUGUCUCAUCUUUUUAUGACUAAAAAAGCAGUCUCGGUCAGAAAACAUUGAACAGAAAUGGUCCAAGUCUACACACUCAAUCAAUAAUUGAUGACGUUCCAGAUAAAUGCAGGUAAAUCAAAAUCAACUCCAGUGUCAAAUUUUAAGUAGCUAGCUUGAACUGGAUUAAAUCUCUGAUAGAAACCCAGUUCCAAUACAAAAGGGUGCCAUCUAAUGGCUAAGCUAGAGCAGCUUGAUAGAAGUGCUGGUAGUUCCUAUUUUAAUUCACAGCUACAUCUGCUGGCCUAAAAGGGAACAUGUUUAAAAUGCUUAAAGUGAAACUUAGUUCCUUAAAAGUAUUUUGGUUUUACUGUUUGUUUAUUCAUAAUUAUUCUGGAAUUUCAUUUCACAUAGAACACAUACAAUAACAUUAAAUAUAAACACACGUGUAUUUUGCACAAUGACAUGUCAUUUAAUCAGAGGUUCCAAAGAAAGAGAGGUAGGGGAAGAUGUCUUGUUAGCAGACCAAAGCAGAUAAGUUUGCCCACCAUUGGCAAUGAGGAGAAAUCAGUGCCAGUUCAAUAUCUACCCUGCUCCCCUGCCCAGCCUGGCCAGCAAGCACGUCUUGACCAUUCAGUUUGUGUUCAUUGAUUACUUUCAAUUAUGGCAUUUUAUCGUUUGAUUAUGAUUAAGAUAGCACUAAUCUUAUCGCAAUAACUUAAUUGUGGAAAAAAAGAUGAACAUUUCCUUUGGGUUUAUAGUCUCCUAAAUCAGCUGUGUACAUACAUGACCUUGGAAUGCAUGCUGGGGCACUCUGAUGAGGCCAGGUGAGUGCACAUGGGGCACUAUGAUGAGGCCAGGUGAGUGCACACUGGGGCACUAUGAUGAGGCCAGGUGAGUGCACACGGGGGCACUCUGAUGAGGCCAGGUGAGUGCACACUGGGGCACCAUGAUGAGGCCAGGUGAGUGCACACUGGGGCACCAUGAUGAGGCCAGGUGAGUGCACAUGUGGCACUCUGAUGAGGCCAGGUGAGUACAUGCUGGGACACUGUGAUUAGGUUGUUUUAUCAGGACAGAUUAAGUUUGGAGAAUAGUUGAGGUAAAUUAUCUAAAGAAUUUUUGUACUAACUGGUGAUUCCCUAACUAUCAAGAAAAAGAAACCUUGCUGUUUACAUACGGUUAUUUACAUGUAACUCAAGAGCAGUGACUUUUAAACUUUUUACCUUUUAUUAUUUGUAGUAGGUAUUGAUACUUGAAGGAUUCUUAAGAGGUUUAGGAAAACAAUUAAAAUAAGUAAAAUUUUAAAAAAAUAGGUAGAUUAUUUAUAGCUAGACUACCUUGACUUUUUUCCUCCCCUUAAAACAGGAAACAUUAGAUAUCUAAAUAACUCCUAGUUUGUGUGAGUAGAACUUUAUCAAAGGUGUAUGUGCUAUGUCUAUGGACCUGUGCUCUGCGUUUGUGAGGAGGUGGUUAUCUCAAAGGACUGGUAGAAUUGCCAUUGCCAACCUUUAUUGUGGCUUCUAGAGAAUGUAUUCAUGAUACCUAGUAUAGUGGGAAUUUACAGAUAAUUUAUAGCUGUUGUUCUCAUAGGAGCUGAAACCUCAAUUGUAAUAAAAACCAUAAAUGAAAAUGUUUCUAGUUAUUGUGAAAUACUUUAAAUUGUCCAGAGAUUUAAAUUUUAAAAUUAAUUUAUAAAUGAAGGGAGUUUUUGAUUUAUUUUUUACCCCUUUAGCAUGGGAUAAGAAGCAUUUGUUAGUCUGGGCACAGUGGCUCAUGCUUGCAAUCUCAGCACUUUGGGAGACUGAGGCAGGAGGAUUGCUUGAGCCUGGGAGUUUAAGACCAGCCUAGGCAACACAGUGGGACCCCGCCUCUACAAAAAAAUGUUUAAAAUUAGUUGGGCAUGGUGGCACAUGCCCGUAGUCCCAGCUACUCAGGAGGCUGAGCUGUGGGAGGAGUACCUGAGCCUGGCUAGGGCUUAAGAGUGUAGCAAGACAAGAUUACACCGCUGCAUUCCAGCCUGGGUGACAGAGAUAGACCUGUCUCAAAAAAA